rnacentral:rRNA from 1 species
UACGAAGGGGGCGAGCGUUGUUCGGAUUUACUGGGCGUAAAGGCGCGCAGGCGGCUCAUUUUGUCAGGCGUGAAAGCCCCGGGCUUAACCUGGGAACUGCGUUUGAUACGGAUGGGCUAGAGUUCGGGAGAGGAGAGUGGAAUUCCCAGUGUAGAGGUGAAAUUCGUAGAUAUUGGGAAGAACACCGGUGGCGAAGGCGGCUCUCUGGACCGAUACUGACGCUGAGGUGCGAAAAGCCGUGGGGAGCAAACAGGG